GGGGAUUUAGCUCAGCGGUAGAGCGCUUGCCUAGCAAGCACAAGGCCCUGGGUUCGGUCCCCAGCUCA
rfam:Rattus norvegicus chromosome 15, whole genome shotgun sequence.